AGGGCACCACCAGGAGUGGAGCCCGCGGCUUAAUUUGACUCAACACGGGAAAACUCACCCGGCCCGGACACUGGAAGGAUUGACAGAUUGAGAGCUCUUUCUUGAUUCAGUGGGUGGUGGUGCAUGGCCGUUCUUAGUUGGUGGAGUGAUUUGUCUGGUUAAUUCCGAUAACGAACGAGACUCUAGCCUAUUAAAUAGAUCGUUGGCUUACAAACGCCGGCGAGACUUCUUAGAGGGACAGGCGGCGAUUCAGCCGCACGAAACAGAGCAAUAACAGGUCUGUGAUGCCCUUAGAUGUCCGGGGCCGCACGCGCGCUACACUGAAGUGAUCAGCGUGCAUUUUGAAACCUACUCUGUCAAGAGUGGGGAACCCAAUGAACCUUCUUCGUGAUUGGGAUAGGGGAUUGUAAUUAUCCCCCUUGAACGAGGAAUUCCCAGUAAGCGCGAAUCAUAAGUUUGCGCUGAUUACGUCCCUGCCCUUUGUACACGCCGCCCGUCGCUACUACCGAUUGAAUGUUU
rnacentral:rRNA from 1 species